AUGUCUCGCCCGACCGCUCGCUCCUCUUCCCAUUCUGUCCGAACCCCACCCAAACCCCACCCCACGCCCCUCGCUCCUCUUACCAUGGUGCCGCCGCGGAUGAGCCUGAUCGAUGAUAGCGUCCUCAUAGAGAUCCUCCUCCACCUCCCAUCGAACGAUCCGGAGCACCUCUUCGGCGCCACCCUCGUCUGCAAGCCCUGGCUCCGCAUUGUCUGCCACCCCGCCUUCCGCCGCCAAUACCGCGCGUUCCAUGGCGCCCCUCCGCUGCUCGGCCUCCUCUACCAGAACCAGGUCUACGAUGGGGACCCGGCCCCGUGCUUCGCCUCCACCACCUCCAUGCUCGACUUCCCCCACCCAGGCUCCACCGCCCGCCCCGCGCGCCUCCUCAACUGCCGCCUGGGCCGCGUCCUCCUCCACAUGUUCCACAAGUGGGCCGUGGAACUCCUCGUCUGGGACCCCGUCACCGGAGACCGCCACGUGGUGCCCGAGCCGGACAUCGACUGGAUGGUCUACACCGCUGCUGUGCUCUACGUCGCUGCCAGCUGCAACCACCUCGACUGCCACGGCGGGCCCUUCCGCGUGGUCUUCAUGGCCACCGAGAAGAAGCGCACCUAG
rnacentral:rRNA from 1 species